rnacentral:rRNA from 1 species
GAUGAACGCUGGCGGCGUGCUUAAUACAUGCAAGUCGAGCGAACAAAGGAGGAGCUUGCUCCUCUGACGUUAGCGGCGGACGGGUGAGUAACACGUGGGUAACCUACCUCUAAGACUGGGAUAACUUCGGGAAACCGGAGCUAAUACCGGAUAAUAUCUUGAACCGCAUGGUUCCCUCGUGAAAGCCGCUUUUGCUCUGAAUUAUCCAUGGGUCCGCGCCGCAUUAGCUAGUUGGUAGGGUAACGGCUUACCAAGGCAACGAUGCGUAGCCGACCUGAGAGGAGGAUCGGCCACACGGGAACGGAGACACGGUCCAGACUCCUACGGGAGGCAGCAGUAGGGAAUCUUGCGCAAUGGGCGAAAGCCUGACGGAGCAACGCCGCGUGUGUGAUGAAGGCCUUCGGUGCGUAAAGCUCUGUUAGGGGGGAAGAACAAAUGUGAGAGGAACAAUGCACGUAUUGACGGUACCUGAAGAGAAAGCACCGGCUAACUACGUG